rnacentral:lncRNA from 1 species
ACAGAAAUUGUGACUUGUUUCUGAAUUUGUUGAAAAUGGUUUAUACCCUAUGAAGUAGUGGUAGGAAAUAUAGCCUUAGAGGAAGGAAAGAUUGUGAAAUUGGAAUUAGCUGAGGAGACAAGACAAUACCUUGUUAAGACUAUUAUGGGAAUUCAAAAAUGUGGUCCAAAAACGCAUGCAGGAGGAUUUGCAAUUGCUAGAAUAAAUAUGAGGUUUUGGGGCACUAUUGGUCCACCAUGAAAAGGGAUCGCAUCAGUUGUACAAUGGAUGCCAAAUUUAAGGGAGUCAAGACUUAUGGGGCAUGUAUGUUAUGGGCCCAAGCUCAUCAAAAGUUUCAAGCUGACAAUGACUCAUCUUUGUGGACGUCAACUGCUCCAUUAAGAGGGGAGAUAGCUUCAUAUGCCAAUAUUACAAAGUCAAAAUUCAUCCAUCUCAAAAAAAAAGAUUAUAUAUAACUACAUAAUGCCAAAAGUUCGCAGUCUUUUCAAAGAUAAUGCGCCAUACCACAGUACAACAAAGGUUGCCAAAAGAAAAGAAAAAGAAGAAAAAAUAAAUUAUAGAAGAUGAC